UCAGUUCUUGAAAUUGUAAGUGGUGUAAAACAAUAUUCUUGGUUAAUUAUCAGCCCAAGCCAGUUGCCACGGGACCAAAGAGACCAAGAGGAAGACCGCGAAAAUGGCCUCCUCCAGAUACAUCACUACCUAAACGGAGCAGGGGAAGACCUAGGAAAAAUGCAAACCCAACUUUAGAGCUUCCCACUAUGGUUGGCAUGGCAGCAGAUCCAACUUUGCAAAACGAUAGACCACCAGUAGUAACUGCACCAAUCGCAACUGAUGUUGUUCCACCAGACGAUUUAUUUAAUAAUGAUGAUGCAGACUGAGCUCAUCGUUGAGACACUGAAAUACCCUUGUACAACAUACUUCUACUCUACAAAGGUUGGCAGUAUGAAGCAGAGUGUAAUGGACAGAAUUGAGAGGUUACUAUGCAAAGUAUUAUAUUGAGAGAUGGAAAAUGAAUUGAAAGAUAUCGAACAAGUUUGGUAGAGAAUGGUAUAUUGGUCGUGUUUGCUUAUAAAAUGUGACACAUAAUUAUAUAAUAUUAUAUAUACAUUAGGAAUAGAUCUUUGCGAAUUGUGCACCACUGUUUAUAAUGUAACACAAUUAUUAAUAUAUGUAUAGAGUAAAUUUAGAAUAUAACAGAUUGCAGCAAAGCUCACUGGAGAACAUUUCACAUGCGCACUUAGUAAUUGCUAUGCUAAUGGCUUAGAUAACAUUAUUCUUGACAUCUUUAUGGUGUCUGCUACAUCUUAUAGAUUCUCUGUGAAUCCGUCAUUGUCCUAAUAAUAUUGGCUGUCAAGUUGACAUUUGAGCAAAGUUGGUACAAUUUCAAUACCAUUUAAAAGUAUAAAGCUGUUAGAAGUAAAAUUAUUUGUCGCAUAUUACCAUUGUAUUGUGUGUAUAUAAACAUUUUGAAUUUAGUAUUAUCACUAUGCAUACAUUUGUAGAGGUGUAAUUUGCCUUUUAACUCAUACAUGGAAUUUCUAAUAAUUCUCAAUGUUGAAAUUAGUAUUAAAACAUAGGUCAGUGUAUUUAUCAUAUUGUGAUAAUAAUAUUAUUGAUCAUGAUGAACUUGUAGAACCAGAAUAACUUGUUUAUCAGGUUCCUUAUUGUCUUCAGCACCAGCAGUGAUCAGCACCUAAUUUUUCCUCAAAGUAUCAGGUUAUCAGAAUUUAGGAUCUGAUUUAAUUAGGAAAAAAAUUCUGUUGUCCUAAUUACUAUAAAAAUUAGUUGAUACUUGUUCUCCUGCUAGGACAAGAUGAGAUAGAAAUAUUUUUAGUCAAUAAUAGAAGGGUUAGGUCACUCUAUUUUUGGUGAUUUGUUACAUAUAAAUCCAGGGG